rnacentral:rRNA from 1 species
CCUACGGGGGGCAGCAGUGAGGAAUAUUGGUCAAUGGACGAGAGUCUGAACCAGCCAAGUAGCGUGAAGGAUGACUGCCCUAUGGGUUGUAAACUUCUUUUAUAUGGGAAUAAAACGUUCCACGUGUGGGAUUUUGUAUGUACCAUAUGAAUAAGGAUCGGCUAACUCCGUGCCAGCAGCCGCGGUAAUACGGAGGAUCCGAGCGUUAUCCGGAUUUAUUGGGUUUAAAGGGAGCGUAGGUGGAUUGUUAAGUCAGUUGUGAAAGUUUGCGGCUCAACCGUAAAAUUGCAGUUGAUACUGGCAGUCUUGAGUACAGUAGAGGUGGGCGGAAUUCGUGGUGUAGCGGUGAAAUGCUUAGAUAUCACGAAGAACUCCGAUUGCGAAGGCAGUUCACUGGACUGCAACUGACACUGAGGCUCGAAAGUGUGGGUAUCAAACAGGAUUAGAUACCCUGGUAGUC